CGACCGGCGCACGGGUGAGUAACGCGUAUCCAACCUGCCCUUUACUAUGGGACAGCCCGUCGAAAGGCGGAUUAAUACCGUAUGUUGUCAUGUUGAUGCAUAUUUUCAUGACCAAAGGCUCCGGCCGGUAAAGGAUGGGGAUGCGUCUGAUUAGCUUGCCGGCGGGGUACCGGCCCACCGGGGCGACGAUCAGUAGGGGUUCUGAGAGGAAGGUCCCCCACAUUGGAACUGAGACACGGUCCAAACUCCUACGGAAGGCAGCAG
rnacentral:rRNA from 1 species